AGUGGGAUAGCUGGAUCAAACUGUAGUUGUAUUCCCAGUUUCUGAGAAAUCUCCAUACUGCUUUCCAGAGUAGUUGCACCAAUUUGCAUUCCCAACAGCAAU
rnacentral:pre_miRNA from 1 species